GACGAACGCUGGCGGCGUGCUUAACUCAUGCAAGUCGAACGAAGAGCGAUGGAAGCUUGCUUCUAUCAAUCUUAGUGGCGAACGGGUGAGUAACGCGUAAUCAACCUGCCCUUCAGAGGGGGACAACAGUUGGAAACGACUGCUAAUACCGCAUACGAUCUAAUCUCGGCAUCGAGGAUAGAUUAAAGGUGGCCUCUACAUGUAAGCUAUCACUGAAGGAGGGGAUUGCGUCUGAUUAGCUAGUUGGAGGGGUAACGGCCCACCAAGGCGAUGAUCAGUAGCCGGUCUGAGAGGAUGGACGGCCACAUUGGGACUGAGACCCGGCCCAGACUCCUACGGGGAGGAGCAGGGGGGAAUCUUCCGCAAUGGACGAAAGUCUUGCGGAGCAAAGCCGCGUGAGUGAUGACGGCCUUCGGGUUGGAAAGCUCUGUUAAUCGGGACGAAAGGCCUUCUUGCGAAUAGUGAGAAGGAUUGACGGUACCGGAAUAGAAAGCCACGGCUAACUACGUG
rnacentral:rRNA from 1 species